GUCUCCGCCCAUACCAGCCUGAAUGUCCCCGAUCUCGUCUGAUCUCGGAAGCUAAGCAGGGUUGGGCCUGGUUACUACUUGGAUGGGAGAAC
ensembl:rRNA 5S_rRNA 5S ribosomal RNA